rnacentral:rRNA from 1 species
GAUGAACGCUCGCGGCAGGCCUAAUACAUGCAAGUCGGACGGGAUUCAGGAGCUUGCUUCUGAUGAGAGUGGCGCACGGGUGCGUAACACGUAUGUAACCUACCUUUAUCAGGGGGAUAGCCUCUCGAAAGAGAGAUUAAGCCCGCAUAAAAUCACAGCACAGCAUUGUGUAAUGAUCAAAUAUUUAUAGGAUAAAGAUGGGCAUGCGGAACAUUAGCUAGAUGGCGGGGUAACGGCCCACCAUGGCGACGAUGUUUAGGGGAUCUGAGAGGAUGGCCCCCCACACUGGUACUGAGACACGGACCAGACUCCUACGGGAGGCAGCAGUAAGGAAUAUUGGUCAAUGGGCGGAAGCCUGAACCAGCCAUGCCGCGUGCAGGAAGACGGCCCUACGGGUUGUAAACUGCUUUUAUACGGGAAUAAACCCAGAUACGUGUAUCUGGCUGAAUGUACUGUAAGAAUAAGGAUCGGCUAACUCCGUG